AACGAACGCUGGCGGCGUGCCUAACACAUGCAAGUCGAACGUGAUUGAAGAGCUUGCUCUUCAUGAAAGUGGCGCACGGGUGAGUAACGCGUAGAUAAUCUACCUGGUGAUUUGGGAUAACAGUUCGAAAGGACUGCUAAUACCGAAUAAGCCCACGGAUUCUUUGGAUUCUGCGGGAAAAGGGGGGGACCUUAUGGCCUUCCGUCAUCAGAUGAGUCUGCGUACCAUUAGCUAGUUGGUAGGGUAAAGGCCUACCAAGGCGACGAUGGUUAGCGGGUCUGAGAGGAUGAUAAGCCACACUGGAACUGAGACACGGUCCAGACUCCUACGGGAGGCAGCAGUGGGGAAUUUUGCGCAAUGGGGGAAACCCUGACGCAGCAACGCCGCGUGAGUGAUGAAGGCCCUUGGGUCGUAAAGCUCUGACAGAGGGAAAGAAAUGCAGGGGAGCUAAUAUCUCCUUUGCUUGACGGUACCCUCGAAGGAAGCACCGGCUAACUCCGUGCCAGCCGCCGCCGUAAAAC
rnacentral:rRNA from 1 species